AUCGUUCUCGCAGCAGAAUGCUUGGAUGAGGGUGAAGUGGAUCUGCAGAGCCACGUCCCUGUCGUCGUCCUCGUCCGCGGCCAGCAGGCACAGUACCACGUUGUCGGGGUCGCUGGGGGCAGAAGGCAGCGACAUGUUAGAGACUCUCCCACAGACUGUCCACUUAAGAAAACCACUGCUCUCCUGAGGCAUUGAGUAUCCAAAUGAUUAGUGUCGCACACUGGAAAAUGUGCUGACAGCCAGGCGAGGCAACCAUCGGCUGUGCUCAGAACCCGGCUGGCUCCGUUUCCAGUCUUCUGCUUUGAUAUUUUUGACCCCAACUCCAUGCCUGAUUGGUGCUAGAUGCCACGGGGGUUGCAAAGCAGCCCAACCCAAGGACCUCCUUCCAAUAGCUGCGGUCAUCACAGAAGUCAGGCCACUGCUGCAGAAGGCACUGCACAAGAGCACAGGCUUCAACUCGCCAGCUCCCACAGAUGUGGCGCUUCUGCAUCCAAUUCUACCACGUGAGAAGGGCAGGCAGAGGAUUAGGAGUUCAAGAUGAGCCUUUACUGCGUCUGGGCUAUGUGUCUCCUGGAGGACAAUGUCUACAGUCCUAUAACUGCCCAUGCACGCCCUUCCUCAGUGGGGUACUUUUACACAUCGUGGGCUAAUCUCACCCCAUUCCCAGCAUGAUGGCUGCAGUUGGUCAUGGAACUGUAUUUCAAAUAUGGAGAAAGGGGCGAGAGCCAAAAAUGCUUUCCCUGUCUGCUCUGUCUUUCCAUUCACAAAGAAACUUCCUGCCGGAGGCAUUGUGAAACACUUAUCCAAAACCCCGACUGGCCAAAGCUAAGUUAUAUGCCAUUCCCUAACAAGAGUUAAGCUAAUCAUUGUAGGUGAAGACUGCUCGUCCAUUUCCCAGCUGCUCAGACCCAAAUAAUCACACGAAACUAUAUCAAUCACAACACUGUUUGGCAAUGGCUCAAGUGUAUGCCUAGCUAGCUCUUAUAUCUCAAAUUAACUCAUUUCCAUCAAUCUGUGUAUCAUCACAAUACUGUGGCUUAUCAGGUAAAGUUCUGGGUGUCUGUCUUCUUCAGCAGAUACGUGUGUCUCUUUGACUCCACCUACUUUCUCUCUCUAUCUCUGUUCAGAUUUCCCGCCUGGCUAUGCUCUGCUAAGCCAUUGGCUGAAACAGCUUUAUUCAUUAACCAAUGGUAAUAAAACAUACUCACAGCAUACAGAGGGGAAUCCCACAUCAAAUCAUAAUUUGCCAUGGCCCUCGUAGACCAUGACCUUCUAUGGUCAAAGAGUCUCUGCUUGCUACCUCAGUCAAACCAGAGAAGGGUGUGAGGAUAGUGGAUGAGGAGACAAUGACCUGUAUCUGCCUCAUGUGCCCAUUCCCAUUGGCCCCUCCUUGACUGUAGCCUUUGAGUAUAAUCCUAAAAUUAACACUGCCCCCCCCAUACACAUAAUGGAUCUGAAUUCUACAAAGACAGCAAAUCAAAAUUCCAAUCAGCACACUUUUAUUCUGAAAAACCUAUUGGUUAUAAUCCAUAAGACUGGUGAAUGAGGGGCUGGAAAGAUGGCUCAUAGGUUAAAGGUACAUUGGACUGCAGUUUUGUUCCCAGCAUCCACAUUUGGUAACUCACAACUGCCUGUAACUCUAGCAUCAGGGCAUCUGGACUUUCCUGACCUCCAAAAGGGCCCACAUGUACGUACACAGAAAUAAACAAUGCACAUAAUAUAACAUAAAUAAAUGCAAAAUAAAUCUUUUUUUUAUUAAAUUUUAACAGAAUCUCACUAUAUAUACACUUGUCUGCCUGACUAGACUAGAACUCUCUAUGUCGUCCAAGCUAGUCUUGAACUCACAGAAUCAACGUGUCUACUAGGACUAACAAUGAUAAAUCACACUUGACUGUAGUAAUAAGUGCGGCGGGCCUUCGUCCCCAGCACCCCGGCCACCUACUAGCUUAUGCCCCAAAAUAACAACACACAAACUGUAUUCAUUGAAGCACUGCUUGGCCCAUUUCUAUCUAGCCUCUUCUAGGCUAAUUCUCGCACCUGGACUAGCCCAUUUCUAAUAACGUGUGUAAGCACACCAAGAUGCGCUUACUGGGAAGAUUCUAGCCUACGUCCAUCCUAGGUUGGAGCUGCCUGGGAGAGCGGAGCCUGGCGUCUCUGCUCUGGAGAGCAGAGCUGUAGCUGUCGAGUCUGAGCUCACUUCCUCUUCCUCCCAGCAUCCUCUUCUGUUUACUCCUCCCACCUAUGUUUUAACCUAUCAGGGCCAAGGAGUUUCUUUAUUGCUUAACCAAUGAAAUCAACAGAUUGAUAUAUGACACUUCCACAUCACUUGACAAGAUAUUUUUUUUAAAAAAUGGUAAAUGAAUGUAUCUUCGUGUAGAAAGAUUGUUUAUAUUAGAUACCUUUUUUUUUUUUUUGUCUCCUCUCCUGAACUAAAAAGUUAACCUACAAAUGUCUGGUCCCUGCUGUUUUUAACAAGAAUACUUCCUUUAAUUGUUGGUUUCUUUGCCAGAGGCCCUGUUUAGUUGAAAGCUCAAUGGCAGAGUUUUGUGUUCCAUCUUAAGCUCUCAGAUGUGGGGGUGGGGCACUACAGUUGCCAUAAACCAUGUGUACUCACUGAGCCCUGGAACUACGGGAUGCAUGAGUUAAACUUUUAAUCUUGUUAAGUUUUAAUUUAUUUAAAUUUUUAUUCAACCUUAACCAUGCUUAUAAUAAUUUGGGUAUGAGAAUCUCAUCUUCAGCCACCCAUACUGUGAAACCUUAAAUGCAGUUCAGUCUACAUGAUGAAGGUUUGUUAAGUCGGCUGAGAUCAUUGUAUGUGUAAAACUAUCAAAUCCUGUGUGGAAAAUAGUUUAAAAAGAUCAAUUUGUAUGUUGGUUAUUUGUUGAAAUGGCAACAUUUCAAGUAUACUUGGUCUAUAAAAUAUAUUAA